CAAACGACUCUCGGCAACGGAUAUCUCGGCUCACGCAUCGAUGAAGAACGUAGCAAAAUGCGAUACUUGGUGUGAAUUGCAGAAUCCCGUGAACCAUCGAGUUUUUGAACGCAAGUUGCGCCCGAAACCAUCCGGUUGAGGGCACGCCUGCUUGGGCGUCACGC
rnacentral:rRNA from 1 species